UGGGAGCUGAAGAACGCAACAGAUGG
rnacentral:piRNA from 1 species